CAGCAGCCACGGUAAUACGUAGGGUGCGAGCGUUAAUCGGAAUUACUGGGCGUAAAGCGUGCGCAGGCGGUUGUGUAAGACAGGUGUGAAAUCCCCGGGCUUAACCUGGGAACUGCGCUUGUGACUGCACAGCUAGAGUAUGGCAGAGGGGGGUGGAAUUCCACGUGUAGCAGUGAAAUGCGUAGAGAUGUGGAGGAACACCGAUGGCGAAGGCAGCCCCCUGGGCCAAUACUGACGCUCAUGCACGAAAGCGUGGGGAGCAAACAGGAUUAGAUACCCGUGUAGUCCCUGUCUCUUAUAC
rnacentral:rRNA from 1 species